GGACUGUGGUUUCUGGAAGUCGAUUCUCCCUCUAGCGGCUGGUAUCUUUGAGGAGAGACUAGAGCUUGUUAGUCUCAGCUCAGCAGGAGGAUCAGUGGGGAAAGCUUAACCCUGGCUUCAAAGGACUUCUGGGCUGGAAGUUUUAGCUUUGAGAGGAAUCCAGACAAGGAAACUGAAGUCCAAAGAGUUAAAGAGAUGUGCCCAGGGUCACAUGGAUAAGUAGUGGCUACCAUGAUAUUCUUGAUCUUCCCCAAGAUCUAGUCGCUAUUGCUGUCUUCUCAAUAGAAGCAUCGUCCUGGGAUCUAUCCCUCCGUCAUGAGACUUGGGCGAAGGAGACACCACUUCCAGUUUCAAACUACAUCCUGGUUGGUCUAAGCCAAUCAAUCUCCUGGCCUAGUGGUCAACAGAAGUUCACCAACUCAUUGAGGAACUCAGGCUCCUGGAACAGCUUCCAUCUCCAGCAUUUGCCAGAUGCUACCAGAAGGAACGAGUACUCCCAGAAGAUUUGGCAUCAAGACUUCAAUGUUGCUAUCUGAAGUGACUUAUAUGUACAUUUCAUUGGCCAGCAUUAGUCAUGUGGCCCUGCCCACACAGAAAAGGAACAGGAAGUACAAUCUUACUAUGUGCCCAGAAGGGGGUGCUCUGGAGAUCUUUGGGAAGGAUAUUGAUGACCAACGCAGGUCACAUGGUCACUUCCUUAGAGCACUCAGCAUGGACUAGUUCUCUAGCCAGGGGUCACUAAUGCCAGUCUGCAGGCCCCGACACCAUCCACUCACAUUAUUGGAAGUCCAUUGCCUGCCAUCUUACUGCUGAGUCUCCAUGGCUCUUUGGAUACCUCCUGGGGAAGACAACUGACAAGACUGCAAUUACUGUUAUGUUAUUUUAAUUUUUAUUGUUAUAGUUUUUCUAUAGGGUGCACAAGCUCACUGGAGAGAG